rnacentral:rRNA from 1 species
GUGCCAGCAGCCGCGGUAAGACGAAGGAUGCAAGCGUUAUCCGGAUUCAUUGGGUUUAAAGGGAGCGUAGGCGGACUUGUAAGUCAGUGGUGAAAUCUGUGGGCUUAACCCACAAACUGCCAUUGAUACUGCAGGUCUAGAGUACAGUUGCCGUUGGCGGAAUAUGACAUGUAGUGGUGAAAUACUUAGAUAUGUCAUAGAACACCGAUUGCGAAGGCAGCUAACGAAGCUGUAACUGACGCUGAGGCUCGAAAGUGCGGGGAUCAAACAGGAUUAGAAACCCCCGUAGUCC